AAUAUUGGACAAUGGGGGAAACCCUGAUCCAGCCAGGCCGCGUGUGUGAAGAAGGUCUUCGGAUUGUAAAGCACUUUACGUUGGGAGGAAGGGCGUCAAGCUAAUACCCUGAUGUUUUGACGAUACCAACAGAAUAAGCACCGGCUAACAUCGUGCCAGCAGCUGCGGUAAUACGAAGGGUGCAAGCGUUAAUCGGAAUUACUGGGCGUAAAGCGCGUGUAGGUGGUUUGUUAAGUUUGAAGUGGAAGCCCCGGGCUCAACCUGGGAACUGCUUUCAAAACUGGCAAGCUACAGUAUUGCAGAGGGUGGUGGAAUUUCCUGUGUAGCGGUGAAAUGCGUAGAUAUAGGAAGGAACACCAGUGGCGAAGGCGACCACCUGGGCUAAUACUGACACUGAGGUGCGAAAGCGUGGGGAGCAAAC
rnacentral:rRNA from 1 species